rnacentral:rRNA from 1 species
AUGCGCCACCGCUUGCUCCUCCUGCUCGUCUUCUUGCUUCCCCAUGAAACCCUCUCCGGCACAACGGCCGCCGCCUCGUGUAACCGCUGGUGCGGCGGCACCAAGGUCCCCUACCCCUUCGGCUUCUCCGACGGCUGCCCCAUCGCCCUGUCCUGCGACGCCAACACCUCCACGCCGAUCCUCCCAUACAGAGGCGACAACGGCACAUCCCCGUACCAUGUCGUGUUCUUCAACUCCACCGCAUCCUCCUUCGUCGUCUCUCUCCCGCCGUCGUGCGCACGCAGCGUCUCCGACGUCAGGAAGGCGCUCUCCGGCCGCAGCUACGACGUCUCUUUCCGCACCGUUCUGAUCCUCCGUGGUGGCUGCCGCGGCAGCAGCGACGCAGCGGCCGGCGCCGGGUGUAGCGUGCCGGCGUCUGCCGUGUCCAGGCUGCUCCGAACGGCGCAGUGCGGCAGGAACGACACCUCCACCGAGGUCGCGUGCGUUGCUUCUGCUGCGCCGAACGCCACGGUGGCGAGGGCGGUGUCUCUGUUCUGGGAGAAGGUCGAGGAGCAAAAGUGUGACGACGUGCUGACCUCCGCUGUAUUCAUGAACACGGCGGAGGGGACGGUGUCGCCGGAGUUUAAGACGGCGGAGUUGGGGUGGUGGGUCAAUGGCACGUGUGCCGGCGGUGAGGCUGGCGGCCAGUGUACGCCGAAGGCCGCGACGUGCUCCGACAUGGAUACACCGAGCGGGGAGAGCGGGUACCGAUGCGCGUGCAUGGCGGGGUCCUACGGCGACGGGUACGCGGCUGGAGAUGGAUGCAACGUCGAUCCAACAUGGGCAAAGUUGAUCGUCGGGGCCGCGUUGGUAACAUGGGCUUUGGUCGUGCUCAUACUUGCUAUCUGCAUAAUUUCUUGUAUCUGUCUCUGCCUCUGCUGUCACCGUCGAAGGCGCAGUAACACGAAGAAAACCAAACAAUCGUUGAAAGCGUUGACAACACUAUUUCGCGGCGAACUUGUCGAUGGCGAGCUCGACCAAGGACUCUCUGGGCCCCGACGAUUUUCUUUCGAGGAGCUCGCUGCAGCGACGGAUAACUUCUCCAAUGACAGGGCGCUCGGGAGAGGAGGCUUUGGGUCUGUGUACCGAGGGUUUAUGAGUGACAUGAACCGCGAAGUGGCUGUCAAGAAGGUGUCAGAGACAUCUCAUCAGGGCUGGAAGGAGUUCCUCUCGGAGGUGCGGAUCAUUAGUCGGCUGAGGCACCGCAACCUCGUGCAGCUCAUCGGCUGGUGCCAUGGCGGCGAUGAGCUCCUCCUUGUCUACGAGCUAAUGCACAAUGGCAGCCUCGACACUCAUUUGUACAGAUCCGACUACGUGCUGACAUGGCCUGUUAGGUACGAGAUAGUGCUCGGCAUAGGUUCCGCACUUCUGUACUUGCAUCAAGACACGGAGCAGCGUGUGGUGCACAGGGACAUCAAGCCAAGCAACAUCAUGCUAGAUGCCUCCUUCACCGCCAAGCUCGGCGACUUCGGGCUCGCGCGGCUCAUCAAUGAUGGCCAGAUAUCGUACAUGACUGACACAGCCGGCACAAUGGGGUACAUCGACCCGGAGAGCGUGCUGGCCGGCACAGCGAGCGUCGAGUCGGAUGUGUACAGCUUCGGGGUCCUCCUCCUCGAGGUCGCAUGUGGUCGGCGGCCAGCUCUAGUCCAGGAAGACGGUGGUGCCGUCCACCUGGUGUCAUGGGUGUGGGACUUGUACAGCGGAGGAUCAAUCCGUGCCGCCGCCGACGAGCGGCUUAGGGGGGAGUUUGACGGUGCGGAGAUGGAGGGUGUUAUGGUCGUGGGGCUCUGGUGUGCGCACCCUGACCGUGGCAUGCGGCCAUCCAUCAGGCAAGCGAUGAACGUGCUGCGGUUCGAAGCGCCAUUGCCGAGCCUCCCGGCAAAGAUGCCGGUGGCGACCUAUGGGCCGCCGACUAAUCCUUUGACUUCAGGAACUUUGGUGCUGAGCAGCAGCAUCAGUGGCCGGUGA